rnacentral:rRNA from 1 species
CCUACGGGCGGCUGCAGUGGGGAAUAUUGCACAAUGGGCGCAAGCCUGGUGCAGCCAUGCCGCGUGUGUGAAGAAGGCCUUCGGGUUGUAAAGCACUUUCAGCGGGGAGGAAGGCGGUGAGGUUAAUAACCUCAUCGAUUGACGUUACCCGCAGAAGAAGCACCGGCUAACUCCGUGCCAGCAGCCGCGGUAAUACGGAGGGUGCAAGCGUUAAUCGGAAUUACUGGGCGUAAAGCGCACGCAGGCGGUCUGUCAAGUCGGAUGUGAAAUCCCCGGGCUCAACCUGGGAACUGCAUUCGAAACUGGCAGGCUAGAGUCUUGUAGAGGGGGGUAUAAUUCCAGGUGUAGCGGUGAAAUGCGUAGAGAUCUGGAGGAAUACCGGUGGCGAAGGCGGCCCCCUGGACAAAGACUGACGCUCAGGUGCGAAAGCGUGGGGAGCAAACAGGAUUAGAUACCCCAGUAGUC